UCGACAUAAUCAUCAUACAGACCCACAUAACUUUGACUGCCAAGUUCAGGGCUUGUUACGCCUACAUGAUCAGCCAAGGAAAAGAAAUGGGCGAUGUACCGAAUUUCGCAAUGCGCUUCGGGAACAUGACCGAUGGCUGGGCGUUCUUCGACAUCCAGCGUGACAUCUACUGGCCGUGCAGCUCUGGCAGCGCGUACUCACGAGUCAAACACGGCAUCUCCGCUAUGCGCGGCCAGCGGUCAGCACAAAAAGCGGCCGCAUAGUAUAGUGACUCGAGUUGGUCAUCUGUUCCAGCUGUGGCAUGCGUUUAUA
rnacentral:misc_RNA from 1 species